ensembl:lncRNA
CACACCCCGAGUACGGGGCCGUCGCAUUGACAAGCCACCAUCAGGCAACGAUGCCGAGGGGCCGGGGGAGGAAGAGGGGCAGGGAAACGGCACUACCCUGCUUACAGGGUGGCCUUGGGGUCCGGCGAGCUCCAUUUCCCACUCAGGUGCGGAGAGGUGGCUCUCGCCCUCCGUUACAGGGGGCCACGCUCCCCAGGCAGCCAAAGGAGCAGCAAGGCAAAAGGCCAACUACAGCAAAGACCCGAGCCCCGCUUACGGGGAGGUCGCCCAGCACAACGCCAGCCUGGUCACCAAAGGCGCCGGCAGCUCU